rnacentral:rRNA from 1 species
UACAGAGGUCUCAAGCGUUGUUCGGAUUCAUUGGGCGUAAAGGGUGCGUAGGUGGCGCGCUAAGUCAGGUGUGAAAUUUCGGAGCUCAACUCCGAAACUGCAUUUGAUACUGGCGUGCUUGAGGACUGGAGAGGAGACUGGAAUUCACGGUGUAGCAGUGAAAUGCGUAGAUAUCGUGAGGAAGACCAGUGGCGGAAGGCGGGUCUCUGGACAGUUCCUGACACUGAGGCAGCGAAGGCCAGGGGAGCAAACGGGG